ACCUACCCAGCAUCGGAUAUUUCCCACCCCCUACUUACCUGGGCAAAGAAAGAGCUUUGUGGACAGAGGCUUAAGUGCUCCUGAAGGGCUUGGUGACUCGGAGAUGCCAGGAAUCCCAGCACUUCACAUACAUCUAAGUCUAGCAUGUAGGUGAUCCACAAAGAGUGCUGAGUGAGAACCAAAAGAAAAAGACCAAGGUACACUGCUAUGCCUGAUAGAUGUUUGGGGUGGCCCAGUCUUCAGCAGGUUACCAGGAAGUAGUUCCUGUUUUCUGAAUAUUGGAGCUGUUUGAAG